rnacentral:rRNA from 1 species
CAGGCCUAACACAUGCAAGUCGAACGAGUGCCUUCGGGUGCUAGUGGCGCACGGGUGCGUAACGCGUGGGAAUCUGCCCUGGGGUCUGGGAUAACGUUGGGAAACUGACGCUAAUACCGGAUGAUGAUGAAAGUCCAAAGAUUUAUCGCCCNUGGGAUGAGCCCGCGUAGGAUUAGGUAGUUGGUGUGGUAAAGGCGCACCAAGCCGACGAUCCUUAGCUGGUCUGAGAGGAUGAUCAGCCACACUGGGACUGAGACACGGCCCAGACUCCUACGGGAGGCAGCAGUGGGGAAUAUUGGACAAUGGGCGCAAGCCUGAUCCAGCAAUGCCGCGUGAGUGAUGAAGGCCUUAGGGUUGUAAAGCUCUUUUACCCGUGAUGAUAAUGACAGUACCGGGAGAAUAAGCUCCGGCUAACUCCGUGCCAGCAGCCGCGGUAAU